AGGACUUCCUGGAAGAAGUUAUUUCCAGUCUAAGGCCUGAAGGGUAAGUAGGCAUUAACCAAGUGAAGGGAAGGAAGGUGUGAACACGGAGAAAGGACAUAAGAAGAGGAGAGGCAGAAGAAAUUGUAUAUGGAGGGUCGGCAAAGUUUUCUACUCAACUUUGUUGUUGUAGCACAAAAGCAGCCACAGAUAACCUAUCAAUGAAUGGGGUUGGAUGGGUGCCAGUAAAACUUAAUUUACAAAACAAAGCAGGGCUGAAGUUGGCAAUCUGUCAACUCUUUGAGAUAUGGGAAGGCCCAGAGUUGAGAGAGAGCACACUUGAGGGGCUAAUGGCCAAUGAAUACGGCUGAUGUAUAGAGGAUGAGGUGGGAGCAGGAAGUGAUGAGUCCGGGGAGCUCAGAACAAGGCUGCAGGGAGAAGAGCAGAGGAGUCUGGACACUGAGGCCUGAGAGGUCGCUGCUGUAGGCAUCUUGGACUAGGAGAGCAGUGGGCAGGGGAGAAAAGCUGUACAGGAAGCAUGACUGGGAAGUCCUCAGGAAACUUACAAUCAUGGCAAAAGCAGGAAGAAGAAAGCGAAAUGAAAGGUGCCACACACUUUUAAAAAACCAGAUCUCAGGAGGACUCGCUAUUAUGAGAACAGCAAGGGAGAAAUCCGCCCCCAUGAUCCCAUCACCUCCUACCAGGCCUCUCCUCCAACAAUGGGGAUUACAAUUCAUUAUGGAGGAGGACACAAAUCCAAACCAUAUUACCAGGCUAGGCUGGAUUUUCCUUUCUUAUUCUGGCAUAGCGCCAUGUUCUUUUUUUUCAAAUUAAAAAAAUGACAUGAUUUAUAAGUUCGC
rnacentral:lncRNA from 1 species